rnacentral:rRNA from 1 species
UACGUAGGUGGCGAGCGUUGUCCGGAUUACUGGGCGUAAGAGCGCGCAGGCGGUCGUUCAAGUCGCGUGUGAAAGCCCCCGGCUCAACUGGGGAGGGUCACGCGAUACUGAUCGACUCGAAGGCAGGAGAGGGUAGUGGAAUUCCCGGUGUAGUGGUGAAAUGCGUAGAUAUCGGGAGGAACACCAGUGGCGAAGGCGACUACCUGGCCUGUUCUUGACGCUGAGGCGCGAAAGCUAGGGGAGCAAACGGG